GUGCAUUUUUUACAUACUGAUUGCAUUUUUGCUGGGCAUUUUGUAUAUUUCAUAUGUGCACGAAGUUCAAACCCCCCAAAUUAUGCACAGCUAAGUCUUCUGAGUAAAAAGACACCCCCAAUGAAUGUCUUUGGCAUUAUUUCGUGAAGCUACAGUGCCAUAUAGGAGACCAAGCCAUAUCAGUUUUUACCGAACUUUUGAAUUUUGACGCUGGGCCUAUGUGCAAUUUCCAAGCAUCUUUGUAGGUUUUAAAUUCAAACUACCCCACAAAGGCCUACCAUUUCUUAAAGUAGACACCCCAGGGUAUUUCAAAAGGUAUAAUUUGAACCUUAGCGUGGGAUCAUUUUUCCGCUAGCUUGUACCAGGUGAAGUGGUAAUAAGCGUUUUUUUCUGCCUUUUUGACACACAAAGUGAGUUUGCACAGUAUAUUUUGCAAACCUUAUAUGUGCUACCACUGUAUAAUACUUCAUAUGUUGCUCAGCUAUGUCGGCUGAGUACCGCAAUACCCCAGUAUGUACCUUUGCCAGGUAUAUGUGGACAUCGGAGGGGCACAUUUGGGACACAGCCAUUCCAGUUUUUUUCAAACUUUAAAUUUUUACGCUGUGCCCAUGUCCCAUUUUAGAGUAGUUUACCAGGCUAUAUAAUCCAAAUACCCCAUAAAGCCAUACCAUUUCUUAAAGAAGACAUCCCAGGGUAUUUCAAAAGGCAUAUUUUGAACCUUGAUCAUUUUUCCGCUAGCUUGUACCAAGUGUAGUGUAAUAAGCGUUUUUUCUGCCUUUUUGAUACACAAAAGUGAGUUUGCACAGUAUAUUUCGCAAACCUUAUGUGUGCUACGACUGUAUAAUACUUCAUAUGUUGCUCAGCUAUGUGGUCUGAGUACAGGUAUAUGUGGAUGUUGGGGGCACAUUUGAGAGGCAGCCAUUCCGUUUUUUUCUAACUUUGAAGUUUUACGCUGUGUCCAUGUUCCAAUUUGGAGUAGUUUAGAUGGUUGGUUAUUGAAACUUCCCCACAAACACAUACUAUUUAUUAAAGAAUACACCCUGGGGUAAUUCAAAAGGCAUAUUUUGAACCUUGGCAUGGGAUCAUUUUUUCUCUAGUUUGUUUCAGGUGUAGUGGUAAUGAGCAUUUUUAGAUGUAUUUUUAUACUUUUUUAAACUUUUUUUUACUUUUUAAAACUAGUUUUUAAACUCUUGUUUUGCUUAUUCUUUUUUUAAACUUUCCUAAACUUUCUUAAAACUUUUAUUUUUACAGAUUUAAAAUGUUUUACUGUUAACCCCUAACUAGCAGUAAGCAGCAC